CCGGGGCUCUUGUGCAGAGUGCACGGUGAAGGCUGCGAGGGUCUCACUCUGUUACCCAGGCUGGAGUGGUGCAAUGGCACAAUCUCAGCUCACUGCAACCCCUGCCACUGCAACCCUUGCCUCCAGGUUCAAGUGCUUCUCUUGCCUCAGCCUUCCAAGUAGCUGGGAUUACAGGCACCUGCCACCACACCUGGCUGAUUUUUGUAUUUUUAACAGAGACGGGGUUUCACCAUGUUGGCCAAGCUGGUCUCAAACUCCUGACCUCAAGUGAUCUGCCUGCCUCAGCCUCCCAAAAUGCUGGGAUUACAGGUGUAAGCCACCAUGCCCAGCCAGGUAUGCAUUUCAUAGUGUAUGAAUCAUACCUCAAAAUUUAUAAAAAUAAAAAAGGAUUUUAAAAAAUGAACAGCCCUUUAGGUAUGGGAGGAGGCGAGGAGUAAGAAAGGUGAAUGGACUCUGCAUUACCACUUGCCGAUCGCUAGAUGUUACCAUGUUACAGUGGAAGGAAUGCAAACAAUAAUUUUUCCCAUUUUUUUUUUUGUUAUGUCCACCAUGUAACCGGACACACAGAAUUUUUUUUUUUUUUUUUUUUUUUUUUUGAGACGAAGUCUCACUCUGUCGCCCAGGCUGGAGUGCAGUGGCGCAUCUCGGCUCACUGCAAGCUCCGUCUCCCACGUUCACGCCAUUCUCCUGCCUCAGCCUCCCGAGUAGCUGGGACUACAGGCGUCUGCCACCAUGCAGCUAAUUUUUUGUAUUUUUUUUUUUAGUAGAGAUGGGGUUUCACCGUGUUAGCCAGGAUGGUCACGAUCUCCUGACCUCGUGAUCCGCCUGCCUCGGCCUCCCAAAGUGCUGGGAUUACCGGCAUGAGCCACCAUUUCCGGCAACAGGCAGACUUUUAACACAUUCCUUACCUAAACUUUUAAAAGGGACAAAAGAUAUAUGCCUUUGGUUUGGGAGAUGACGAAACAUAUGCUUUAAUGACUAUUGGGUUGGAAUCUUCUUGAGAGAGGAUCCUUCUUAGCCUAGACUAGAGUCUUCAAAAGCCCACAGUGCUUCGUAAAGUUUCAUACGUGGAAGAGAGAAGGAUGUUCCACUGGAAAAGCAGAAUUGCAGCUGAGCUGUCCUGAAAUGCCCAGCACUCUGUGGAGACGCGGAGGAGGUUUCCUGGGACAAAGUGCUGAACCAGCUACAGCCACAAGCUGUCUCCACCAUCAGAUGUGGCUUACCUGGUUCCUGAGUCAAUUCCAUCCAGAUGGUGAAGCCAAGGCCUGAAGACCUUUCCUGCAAGGUCGCAGAGGAAGAGGCAGAAGAAGGACCAGAACCCAGCUCCCCUGACUCCCUAUCCAGUGCUCUUCUCAUAGAUUACAUUGCUUCAGCAUCCACCUGGCUAUUGCUCCAUCCAGGGGUUACAGGAGUCACUGACUGUUUUGGUUGCUUCUUGGUUGGAGGAUGUUGUGCCUCACCGAUGAGAGCCGGAAGCAAAGGUACCAGUUCUUAGAGGAAGCAUAGGAAUGUGUCCCUUCCUGCUCGGGUCUCUCAACUGAACUCAACCCUUCCUUGAUUGAUUGACAAGCAUGUUAUCUCUCAUAAUCCCUGCCCGGUAAGGGCUGAUGUCCCCAUUUUACAGAUGAGGAUAUUGGAGCUCAGAGAAGUGAAAUGAUUGCUGAAGGUCACACAGCCUGGCUUCAAGCCUCUCGGGCUCCAAAAGGCAUCUUCUGUUCUCUCCGUCAGGAAGCCUCUUUUGGAUGAUUAACUGAGAUUAAAAAUGAAAAGACACAUGAAAGAAAGGUCCUUUUUUUCAACCUGACAAGAACUAAGAAUGCCUCUGUAUUCCAGGCACCCAGACCAGGGUGGGCUGGAAAGCCAGCCAGAGAGAAAGCAGGAGAAAGAAAGCAUGUUCUAACAGGAAGGUUAAAGCACCCUGGGAUGUGAGUUGGGGUGGAGAAGUGAAGAGGGCAGUUCUCACAGGGGCAGAGCUUGGUUUGGGGUAGGCUAGGAGCUGGGACCAGAAGAGGGACAGGGAAGGGUUUAUUGUGGGUCCACGGCCCAGCUCCACUGCAUGGGCCAUCUGACAGCGCCUGACCGAGCAGAAUGCCAGGGUGUAAAGACCCCACUAAUACCCAGUCAAUGAGAGGAACGCCAGAGGAGCACCCAGAAUGUUCUUGUGCAGAGGCAAAGAGCAGGAGUUUGUGACCACAGCUGGCAGUCCAUGUCAUCCUCACUGAACGACCUCUUAGCAUUCCAGGUGGACAAACAUAUUCACAGGUGCCCAGACAAAUGAGGUCUGCGGGAGAGAGACAGGCUACAUCAGAGGUAGACUAUGUAUUUACAUAAAGUAGGAAUAAGAGUCUCAGAAGCCUUCCAAAGCAGAUGUCUGCUUAAACCUCUUGAGCGGUGCCCUCCUUAGCCUGGAAGGAAGGCCUUGCUCAGGUAGUCUCAACCCGCAUCUGUGGUGUGAUUUAACACCUUCCCCUUCAUUCCACCACACUCUAUCUCAAACUAUCUGUUGUUCUCAAACACACAGAACACUUUCACUCCACCAGCUCUUCCACAUGUGAUUAUCUUUGCAUGUACUUCAUCUUUCUCAUCUACAGCCCCACCUGGCAAACUCCUACUCAGCCUUCAAAACCCUGCCUAAAUGUCACUGAAUCUGGAAGCCUUCUUCAUCUUCUCAGUACACAUUUGUCUGUAUUCCUGAUCCUUUGUCUAUAACUCUGGUAAAUCAUUGAUCCUAGUGCACUGUCAAGAACUUGUCCUAUUUUAUCUGUAGAUUCCCAGAGCCCAAUCAAGAUCCUCACAUGUAGAAAGUAGUAGAUCAAUUAAAUAAAGCAAGCACAGCCAGAAUGGCUGGGAAUUUGAGAGCAUGUGCCCCAGAAUGAUUGUACCUCAGACCUGGAAGAAAAUGUGGAGUUGAUCUAAGUAAACCUGAUGUUUGAACGCCUCAUCUGCAUUCACAGCCUGAGGUAAUAUACAUAAACCACCUAAUCUAGUAACUGGCAGGUAUUAGUCAGUGAAUGGUGGCUGAUAUUUUUGUUUUUGUUGUCAUUUCUUCGGGAAUCAAAAUAGACAUAGAAGAAUUCGCAGAAAGAGCAACAGAUCUGCAGUUGGGGCUGUGGCUCUGCCUCUGAGACUCUCCCUUUAUGACUUUGAACAAGUCAUUUCACCCUCAUGAGGCCUCGAUUUCCUCAUCAAUAGUUUGGGAUACAACUAGGUGUCCUGUAAUUGGUGCCUUUCAGCUCUAAUCAAAACAAAAACAAGACCCAAGCAAACAUCAUCACUGACAGAUCUGAGGGAAUCCAGCUCAGAUCUUCCUGGUGUCAUCUCUGAUCAGAAAUCAGGGAACCAACCCUGACCUUAAUGGCCCUUCUAGGGGUGUGCUCUUCCCCUGGGCAGAGCCAAUCCCCAGGGAAGCAGAAACUCCUACUUGCCAAACUCCUGGCCAGUCACACCCGCUUUGCCAUCCUGGAGAAGGAGGGACUGUUGUGGAGCUUGUGGCAAAAUCCCUCUUCCUCCCCCAAACACAGCUAUGAUUAGCUGUGUCCUCACCACGAAACUGCAGGGGUGUGUGCGGUCACUAUUUACAAUGACCCAGGAGUCUGAUGCCUAAAUGAUACAUUAUCUUCAUGCUCCAGUCUCCCACUGUCUGACUGCCCGGCUCUUCUUUGACGAGAGAUCUCACCGAUUGCGGCCCUUGGCCUUAGGAAGGGUGAUGGGCUGGGCUGGAGGCCUGGGCUGAGCUCUUGGGUGCAGGGGGAGCCUCAGCUUUUCCAGCCCUCAUCCUCAACGGCUGCCUCUGCCAAGGCCCUGGAGCUACAGAAAGCAAGACCAGUGCCUGAGUGCAAUAAAUGCUUUUAUUAGUCCUUUUAUUAAUGACGGUUGGUAUUUGUUGAGAAGCUGGGACAAUAGUUAUUCCAGUAAGAGGAUAUUAAGCUCCCUCAAACAGGCCCUGUAUAUCUAACAGGCUCUGGCCCCCAGCCUCCCCUGACGCAGCUCUGUUACACUGCAGCACACCCCUGGCCUCCCAGCAACUCCAAGAAGGGAGAGGAGGGAUGGGGGAGGUAGGGAUAAUCUGGUGUCAUUAAACACACAGGCCUUUGUGGAGGUUACCGUACACCAACAGCAGGAAGCUUUUUCUUCCUUCUGAGAGCAUAGGGAGCCUAUGUGAUUUUGUUUUUUUUUUGUUUGUUUUGGUUUUUUUGUUUUUUGCUACCCCUGUGCUCCUGGCUAUUUUACCUCCAGAGCUGCUGGUGAUAAGUUGGUAAAGGAGGACCUCCUUAAACCAUUUGUUAAACCAUUUGAGACUGUUCCUAGUACUUGUUUUAAGCUAUUUUACAUGAUUUUUAAUGUAAUAAACACAUUUAUAAUACUAUGUGGUGGCAAUGUUCUGAGUGCUUUUCAAAUACUAAUUUAUUUAAUACUCAUAACGUCUCAAUGAAGUAGGCACUAUACUUAUCCUUAUUUUAUAAAUGAGGAAAUGAGGCCCA
rnacentral:lncRNA from 1 species